rnacentral:rRNA from 1 species
AUACGGAGGAUGCGAGCGUUAUCCGGAUUCAUUGGGUUUAAAGGGUGCGUAGGCGGCGUGCCAAGUCAGGGGUGAAAUGCCGUCGCUCAACGACGGAGCUGCCCUUGAUACUGGCGUGCUGGAGUACGGAUGCCGUUGGAGGAAUGAGUGGUGUAGCGGUGAAAUGCUUAGAUAUCACUCAGAACACCGAUUGCGAGGGCAUCUGACGAAUCCGUCACUGACGCUGAAGCACGAAAGCGUGGGGAUAGAACAGGAUUAGAUACCCUGGUAUUCCACGCCGUAAACGAUGAUGACUAACCGUCGGCGAUAGACAGCCGGUGGCCAAGCGAAAGCGAUAAGUCAUCCACCUGGGGAGUACGUCGGCAACGAUGAAACUCAAAUGAAUUGGCGGGG